AAAGUGCGAUAACUAGUGUGAAUUGCAUAUUCAGUGAAUCAUCGAGUCUUUGAACGCAACUUGCGCUCAUUGGUAUUCCAAUGAGCACGCCUGUUUCAGUAUCAAAACAAACCCUCUAUCCAACAUUUUGUUGAAUAGGAAUACUGAGAGUCUCUUGAUCUAUUCUGAUCUCGAACCUCUUGAAAUGUACAAAGGCCUGAUCUUGUUUGAAUGCCUGAACUUUUUUUUAAUAUAAAGAGAAGCUCUUGCGGUAAACUGUGUUGGGGCCUCCCAAAUAAUACUUUUUUAAAUUUGAUCUGAAAUCAGGCGGGAUUACCCGCUGAACUUAA
rnacentral:misc_RNA from 1 species